CGCGUGUGUACUGCGGAGGAUCAUUACUGAGGUUACCGGAGGUCGAGUUGUCUGUGUGGUUUUGUCGCUGGCGUGAAAGCGCAUGUGCGCAGCCCCUCCUGCUCGCCUUCGUUCCAUCUAUAUUAGGAUUAGAGAGAAGCGCGUCAUUUAGGGAUUAACCUAGUAGUUGUGGGUCCAAUCUCGACGGUGUCGCGUGGUAUCUCUAGUUCUUCUAUUAUACAAACCACUAUACAUGUCUUGUCAGAAUGUUCAGUCCCUUCGUUGGACGCUAAAUGUAAUACAACUUUCAACAACGGAUCUCUUGGCUCUCGCAUCGAUGAAGAACGCAGCGAAAUGCGAUAAGUAAUGUGAAUUGCAGAAUUCAGUGAAUCAUCGAAUCUUUGAACGCACCUUGCGCCCUUUGGUAUUCCGAAGGGCACGCCUGUUUGAGUGUCAUGUUCAUCUCAAUCCAUUAGCCUUUGCGGUUCAUUGGGUUGGAUUUGGGAGCCUGCUGGCCUCUAUGGGGUCGGCUCUCCUUGAAUGCAUGAGUGAGCAUCUGGCUCGCGUCGCUGGUGUGAUAGUCAUCUCAUCAUUGGCGGCGCUUGCCUAACGGGCUUGCUUUCGAACCGUCUUCUCAACGGAGACAUCUCUGAUCUAUUUGACCUCAAAUCAGGUGGGACUACCCGCUGAACUUAGGAUAUCUUAAGGCCGGGGAAGAAACCCCCAAU
rnacentral:rRNA from 1 species